rnacentral:rRNA from 1 species
GACGAACGCUGGCGGCGUGCUUAACACAUGCCAGUCGAACGGAAAGGCCCUGCUUUUGUGGGGUGCUCGAGUGGCGAACGGGUGAGUAACACGUGAGUAACCUGCCCUUGACUUUGGGAUAACUUCAGGAAACUGGGGCUAAUACCGGAUAGGAGCUCCUGCUGCAUGGUGGGGGUUGGAAAGUUUCGGCGGUUGGGGAUGGACUCGCGGCUUAUCAGCUUGUUGGUGGGGUAGUGGCUUACCAAGGCUUUGACGGGUAGCCGGCCUGAGAGGGUGACCGGCCACAUUGGGACUGAGAUACGGCCCAGACUCCUACGGGAGGCAGCAGAGGGGAAUAUUGCACAAUGGGCGGAAGCCUGAUGCAGCAUCGCCGCGUGCGGGAUGACGGCCUUCGGGUUGUAAACCGCUUUCGCCUGUGACGAAGCGUGAGUGACGGUAAUGGGUAAAGAAGCACCGGCUAACUACGUG